AGCAGGACGGUGGCCAUGGAAGUCGGAAUCCGCCAAGGAGUGUGUAACAACUCACCUGCCGAAUGAAUUAGCCCUGAAAAUGGAUGGCGCUGAAGCGGGCGGCCGACACCGCGCCGUCUGGUAAAGAAUUUGACGAUCAGAUGAGUAGGAGGGCGUGGCGGCCGUGUCGAAGCGUGCGUGCAGACGCGCGUGGAACGGCCGCUAGUGCAGAUCUUGGUGGUAGUAGCAAGUAUUCAAGCGAGAUCCUUGAAGGGCGAAGCGGGGAAGGGUUCCACGCGAACAUUGAUUGGGCGUGGGUGAGUCGUUCCUAAGCCGAGUGGCAAUUGCUAAGUAGCGGCGAAAGGGAAGCGGGUUGACAUUCCCGCACACGGAUGUGGAGGCGGUGACGCGCAAAAUGGGGUGAACACGCUGGCGACGGCGCUGGGCAGAGUUGUCUUUUCUGUUUGACCUUCUGCAGCACGCGGUGUGGAAUCCGCUUGUCGGGAGAAACACGCGUGCCGGGGCAGAGCGCCGGGGCUUUUCCGGCGUCCAGCUCGCCGUCGACGGCCCUUGAAACUUUACCUGCUGAAAUUUUGGAUCCACGCCGUGGCGUACCGAUUACCGCAUCAGGUCCCCAAGGUGAACAGCCUCUGCUCGAUAUGAACAAUGCAGGUAAGGGAAGUCGGCAAAUUAGACC
rnacentral:rRNA from 1 species